rnacentral:rRNA from 1 species
UACGUAGGGGGCGAGCGUUGUCCGAAGUUACUGGGCGUAAAGAGCGCGUAGGCGGGUUUUUAAGUGAGGGGUGAAAUUCCGAGGCUCAACCUCGGAACUGCCUUUCAUACUGGGAACCUUGAGUGCGGGAGAGGCGAGUGGAAUGGUCGGUGUAGCGGUGAAAUGCGUAGAUAUCGAUCGGAACACCCAUGGCGAAGGCAGCUCGCUGGCCUGUAACUGACGCUGAGGUGCGAAAGCGUGGGGAGCAAACAGG